AUUCCAGCUCCAAUAGCGUAUAUUAAAGUUAUUGCGGUUAAAAAGCUCGUAGUUGGAUUUCUGCCGAGGAUGACCGGUCCGCCCUGUGGGUGUGCAUCUGGCUCAGCCUUGGCAUCUUCCUGAAGAACGUAGCUGCACUUGACUGUGUGGUGCGGUAUUUAGGACAUUUACUUUGAGGAAAUUAGAGAAUACAUUAGCUUGGAAUAAUAAGAUAGGACCUCGGUUCUAUUUUGUUGGUUUCUAGAGCUGAGGUAAUGAUUGAUAGGGAUAGUUGGGGGCAUUCGUAUUUAACUGUCAGAGGUGAAAUUCUUGGAUUUGUUAAAGACGGACUACUGCGAAGGCAUUUGCCAAGGAUGUUUUCAUCA
rnacentral:rRNA from 1 species